GUCUACUGCCAUGCCGCCCCAAACCGCGGAUCUCAUCUGAUCUUGGAAGUAAUCAGGGUCGAACCUGGUUAGUAUUUAGAUGGGAGACCACCUAUGAAAACAGGUGCUGUAGGCU
rnacentral:rRNA from 1 species